rnacentral:misc_RNA from 1 species
AACGCACCUUGCGCCCUUUGGCUAUUCCGAAGGGCAUGCCUGUUUGAGUAUCAUGAACACCUCAACUCUCAUGGUUUGCCAUGAUGAGCUUGGACUUUGGGGGUCUUGCUGGCCUAUGGGUCGGCUCCUCUCAAAUGGAUCAGCUUGCCAGUGUUUGGUGGCAUCACAGGUGUGAUAACUAUCUACGCUUGUGAUUUUCCAUCAGGUAACCUUCAGUGAUGGAGGUUCGCUGGGGCUCAUAAAUGUCUCUCCUCAGUGGGGACAGCUUUUUGAACGUUUGAUCUCAAAUCAGGUAGGACUACCCGCUGAACUUAA